UCCGACUUAACGUCGGCAGUCUCUUUAGAGUGCCCAACUUAAUGCUGGCAACUAAAGACAAGGGUUGCGCUCGUUAUGGGACUUAACCCGACAUCUCACGACACGAGCUGACGACAGCCAUGCAGCACCUCCGCUACCGGCCCCGAAGGGCAACUAUAUCUCUACAGUCUUCCAAUAGCGUUCGAACCCAGGUAAGGUUUUUCGCGUUGCAUCGAAUUGAACCACAUGCUCCACCGCUUGUGCGGGCCCCCGUCAAUUUCUUUGAGUUUUAAUCUUGCGACCGUACUUCCCAGGCGGGACACUUAACGCGUUAGCUACGGCACUGAAGGGGUCAAUACCUCCAACACCAAGUGUCCAUCGUUUAAGGCGUGGACUAC
rnacentral:misc_RNA from 1 species